rnacentral:rRNA from 1 species
GCAGUCGCCGCGGGAAUACAGAGGGUGCGAGCGUUAAUCGGAUUUACUGGGCGUAAAGCGUGCGUAGGCGGCUUCUUAAGUCGGAUGUGAAAUCCCUGAGCUUAACUUAGGAAUUGCAUUCGAUACUGGGAAGCUAGAGUAUGGGAGAGGAUGGUAGAAUUCCAGGUGUAGCGGUGAAAUGCGUAGAGAUCUGGAGGAAUACCGAUGGCGAAGGCAGCCAUCUGGCCUAAUACUGACGCUGAGGUACGAAAGCAUGGGGAGCAAACAGGAUUAGAUACCCCGGUAGUCCCUGUCUCUUAUAA